AGGGUUUGUUCCCUAGAGGAGUGGCUUUCGGAGCUAACGCGUUAAAUCCACCGCCUGGGGAGUACGGCCGCAAGGUUAAAACUCAAAUGAAUUGACGGGGGCCCGCACAAGCGGGGGAGCAUGUGGUUUAAUUCGAUGCAACGCGAAGAACCUUACCUACUCUUGACAUCCAGAGAAUUUAGCAAAGAUGCUUUAGUGCCUUCAGGAACUCUGAAACAGGUGCUGCAUGGCUGUCGUCAGCUCGUGUUGUGAAAUGUUGGGUUAAGUCCCGCAACGAGCGCAACCCUUAUCCUUUGUUGCCAGCGAUUCGGUCGGGAACUCAAAGGACACUGCCGGUGAUAAACCGGAGGAAGGUGGGGAUGACGUCAAGUCAUCAUGGCCCUUACGAGUAGGGCUACACACGUGCUACAAUGGCGUAUACAAAGAGAACCGACCUCGCGAGAGCAAGCGGAACUCAUAAAGUACGUCGUAGUCCGGAUUGGAGUCUGCAACUCGACUCCAUGAAGUCGGAAUCGCUAGUAAUCGUAGAUCGGAAUGCUACGGCGAAUACCGUCCCGGGCCUUGCACACCCCGCCCGUCACGCCAUGGGAGUGGGUUGCAAAAAAAGUAUGUAGCUUAACCUUCGGGAGGGCGCUUACCACUUUGUGAUUCAUGACUGGGGUGAAACCGUAACAAGGUAACCG
rnacentral:rRNA from 1 species